ACGUUCGGGUAAUCGCUGCAAUGAGCUUUACGCGAAUUGUUGAGGAAAGUCCAUGCUCGCACGGGCUGCGAUGCUCGUAGUGUUCGUGCCUAGCGAAAUCAUAAGCUAGGGCAGUUGGGCGUAAGUCCAAUUGACGGCCGGGAAAAUACCUAAGUCUUUUUAGGAUAUGGUAUGUGUACCUAUAAAAGUGCCACAGUGACGUAGCCUUUCUAGAAAUGGAGAGGGUGGAACGGGUAAACCCCACGAGCGAGAAACCCAAAUAAUGGUAGGGGAACUUUCUCUGAGGAAUUGAACGAGGAGAAGGACAGAUUUCAACGUGAAUCUGUAGAUAGAUGAUUACCACCUAAGUACGAGACUAAUCGUCGUUUGCAGUACUAUGGUACAGAACAUGGCUUACAGAA
rnacentral:RNase_P_RNA from 1 species